rnacentral:lncRNA from 1 species
UAAUAAUUGAAUAAAAAAGUUUUCAUUGAGUGAUCAAAAUAAAAAUACUCUCAUAAUUGAAUACUUCAUGUAGCUUACCUAAUAAAAAUACUAGAAAGAUAGGAAGGUUGAAAUUUAUAAUAAAGCAACUCCAAAAUCAAACAUCACAUGAACGUACAAGCAGUUUGGAGGUAGCUUGAAUUAUCAAAAGAAACUCUUCCAGAGGAAGACUUUGAUUUAGAUACAUGGGAGUACUUGAAAGCCUUGAGAAGCCAAUGUUGAUGAGCUCAUAGUAACUCGUUAUUGCAGACACACUACACAUGAUGAAACAAACUACAUAAUAGUCUUGAAAAAAACACAAAUCAUGGGCAGGUAAUGCAACUUCAUGAUCUGGAUUUUAUUUAUUCGCAUUACAAUUUCGCCAAUGGAUCCUAUAGCCCCAUUGCAUUCAAGGUUUAGUUGGCAACUCCUAGCAGCCGCGACCGCGUUUAUAAACGGAACAGGGUGGGGCCAUAGAAGGAGUUCCAGGUAUGCAGGAUUUAUAAGGCCUUCCACGGCCACAAUUUCGAGGUUCAUUAUGUUCACCCGGCGUAGCAGGGAUAAACACUGGUGGAUCAUUGAUGUCUGCAAAAUUAACAGCCAUAUAUUUCCCAUUUUAUAUCCAUAUCAGGCUAAAGUGCUAUAUAAGCGGAUAAAGGUAUAUAAGCCCUUGAACUUUUGCGAAAAAAUCAAUUAAGCCCUCUGCAGAAAACGUACUCAAUUAAGUCUUUAAACUCUCAAAUUGCAUCAAAUUUUUAUUUAUAAUUUUGAUAAAUUUUAAUAAUAUUAUUUAUUUAUAAUUUUAAAACAUAAAAUUUUUAUAAUUUUUUAAAAAUUUUAAGUCAAAAUCAAAUUGUGCAAGCAUUUGUCCAGGUCAUCCUAGUAAAUUUUUUUUUACUUCUUUUGAAAUUUUUAUUUUUCAAAAAAUUUAUUAUUUUUAUUUUGUUGACAUCAGCAACUGUCAUUGACAUGGAGCGUCAUGUGAGCGCUAUUGAUGGUCACAUCAAUACUGUAACGGUUAAAGAUGAUCAAAAGACUUAAUUGAUGCAAUUUGAGAAUUUAAAGGUUUAAUUGUAUGCACUUUUUACGGAGGGGCUUGUUGAUUUUUUCGCAAAAGUUCAGCUGCUUAUAUACUUUUAGCCUAUAUAUAAUUAAAACCAUCCAUAUGUAAAAAAAAACUCAAUCGAAUUGAAUAAUCAACACAACACAUCCAAGUUCUUAUCCAUAUAAUGUUUAAUAUUAUUUGAUUGUGAUUCAACUAUACUAUACUAAUGUUAUAUAUAUUGCUUUAAGAUGGAAAAUAAAUGAAAAAUAGAAUAAAAGUGUUAAAUUUGUUGGUAAUGUGACUUAUCCUUCUAGAUAAGUUAUAAAAAAAAAUCAAUAUAAUCAAACAAUGAACGCAAAACACUCAAAUUCAAAACUAUUUAAUAAUAAUUUGAGUAGUUAUUGUAUGCGUAUAUAUGUAAAUAUAUUGCUUGAUUAUAUAAAAUAAAAUUGGAAAUUUAUAUAGAAGUAAUAAACUCGUUGAUGUGAUUACUUACCCUUCUCCCCCAGACGUCGAGCCAUGGUGAAAGUAGGGAUAAAAAGAGUGGAAGCCAGGAGAAUGCAUACCAACACUAAUAAUGCUUUCAUUUUUGGGGGUAUAUUGUUGUUAUUAAUAGUAGGUAGUUUGUGUGAAGCAUGGCUUUUCUUUCGACUACUAUUUAUAGGUCGAUGUCUCAAGUGUGUUGUGGCUACUGUUCAAAGAUAGUUUGAUAAUAAAUUAUUAUUCACUCUAUAAAACUAGCAAAAUUGACAAAGGGAGGACUGAAGAAAUUUCCACGGCAGGCAAUAGGUUAUAACUUAUUUCUGUUUUUUUUUAAUAAUUUUAUUAUAGGUUCUGAUCAUAUAUGUUUUUUUACACAAUGUUUAGAACUACCUAUAGUCCCUCCCAACUCAUAAAUAGGAGGAUAAUGCACUUCAGCGCACUCGAACUUACAUUCUUUUACAUUGGAAAUAAUGUCCAUACCAAUUGAAUUAAAGACUCAAUCAGCUACCUUCUAUCCUUUUAUGGCCAUAUUUCCAUACAAAAAUCAAAUUUUUAGCGGUUGUCACUUUUAUUAUUCUCACUGGGAAAAAUAGAAACAUUAUUAGUGAUGAACUUUAUGAAUUCAAGAUGUAAGGAGAAAAUUUGAGGAUCAAAUUUAUGUUUAAUUAUAUAUAAUAUAUAAAAAUAUAAUUUGUUCGAUGUCAUUGAUAUUUGUUGGGUCUAGUAGUAAGGAGUUCAAUACUUUUUUGAAUUUGAACCUUGUAGAUAAAGAAAACAAUUUCAAAAAAAACUUUAACCUCCAUUUAAGAACCCAAUUCAAUUCAACUUCAAAUUUAAUGAUCAAAUAUUGAAGGAUCUCAUGAAAAAAAUCUUGUUUAACAACAACUCUUUUAGAAAGAAAAUAGACUUUUAUUUUAUAGUUGAUAUAUCAAUUUCUUAUUUCUAAUGAUUUGAUUUUAAUCUUUCUUAUCAUAUUAUAAUAUAUGAAAAUAUGAUUUGAUGGCACUGAUACUUGUUGGGUUCAGUAGUAAGGAGGUCAAUGCAUUUUUGGGUCCUAAUCUUGUAGAUGAAGACAACAACACUAGAAAAACUUUACCCUCCAUUUAAAAACCCAACUUAAUUAAACUUCAAAUUUACUUAUCAAAUAUUGAAGGAUCUCAAGAAAAGAAAAUCAUUUUCUACAACAAUUCUUUUAGAAGGAAAAUAGACUCUUAUUAUAUAGUUGAUGUAUCAAUUUCUACAUUGCAAUUAUUUGAUUUUAGUUACAUUUCAAUUUUGUUAAUGAAAGAUAGCAACAUCCACCCCAAGUCUCAAAUGACUUGUUAGACCAUGAUAAUAAGGACAAAUAUGUUAAUUGUUAAGCAUUACUAACUCGUACAAUGUGGGAUCACUUCUUACACCAAUACUAAAUAAAAAGCAAGCUUGAGGACCAAUCAUAGGACCAUGAGGUAUUACUUGUCUCUCAUCUUUAUCUUCUUCACUAAGUUAAUAUACUUUUACUCUCUCCAUAGUCAUAAAUCCUUAAUUAACUUAAGUAUCAAAGAACAAUUAAAAUGUCAAAUCCGAUGCCCCUUAGCUUACCCUUAAGUCGUGCAGAUCGAGUCAAGCCUCUUGAAGCACCUCAACAAGUUUGGUCUACACCAACCCAAAGAAGACACUAAUAUGUGGUGCUAGCUUUGGGAACUAAGCGAAAACCCAUGGAUUAGUCUUAACAACCUAUUAAGCUCCAAUUCUUUUCCCAAGUUUUUGUCUAAGCUCCUACUUUUUCCAUUGGAAAUUUUAUAAAACCUUCAUUUUUGGAUUUUAGAAAGUUUCUCAAACACAUUUAUCUCCAUUAUUUUGGUUUAUCGAAUGAAAGAAUUGGUAUAAAAUAGAAAGAAAUAUCUAGCCAAACAGAUAGCAAGAUAUAAAUUGAAAAACUUCUUUUGUUUGUUUAUUCAAAACCUUACUCUCUGAAUACACAUGUUCAGUAUUUAUAGACAUGAGUAACCGCUCCAUAUUGAGCAACAACCUUCACCGGAUACAUAACUAACUAACAACCUUCAAUACUCUAAUAUUCAUCCAUCUUCCCCACAGGCAAGACCCGUAGAAAACUCUGAAAUCGAGUAAAAAUGGAUAGUGAAAGUGGCUUAGUUAGAACAUCAGCAACUUGAUCACACGCCGGAACCUCGCCAACGGCAACAGUACCAUCAGCAACCUUUUCACGAACAAAAAACAAAUCUAAUUCAACAUGCUUAAACUUUGAAUGAAGAACAGGAUUAGCAGCAACUGCAACCGCACCAGAACUAUCACACCAAAUAUUUGGAAUACUAGAAGACCGAACAUGUAAUUCUUGAAGUAACGACAAAAGCCAUGUAACCUCACUAGUGACCGCAGCAAGACUCCGAUAUUCUGCCUCAGCAGUAGACCGAGCAACAACAUGUUGUUUCUUCGUACACCACGACACAGCAUUACACCCGAAAUAAACACAGUACCCAGUAGUAGACCUCCGGUCAUCAAAAUCUAACCCCCAGUUUGCAUCAGCAUACCCAACUAAGGACAGAUUAGUUGACGGACGAAAUACAAUCCCAAAUUCAAUCGUUCCACCUAAAUACCUCAAAAUACGUUUUAGAGCUAUCAUAUGAACAGAAGUGGGACAAUGCAUAAACUGACAUAUUCGAUUCACUGCAUAUGCAACAUCAGGUCGCGUAAGAGUGACAUACUGUAGUGCCCCAGCAAGACUCCUGUAUUCAGUUGGAUCCUCUAAACGCUAACCACCAUCUUUAGUUAAGAAAGAAGAACUAACCAUCGGUGUAUUAACACUCUUCGCAUUUUCCAUCGAACACCGAAUAAGAAUAUCAUGUAUAUACUUCUUCUGACACAGAUGAAGACAACCUGACGAAGAACGAGUAACUUCUAUCCCAAGAAAAUAGUGAAGAUCGCCCAUGUCCUUAAGCGAGAACUCACUAUUCAGUAAUUGAACAAACCACUCUAUCACAGAGGGCACAUCACCUGUAACAAUAAUAUCAUCAACAUACACAAGAAUAUACAACGUUGAACCUGAUAUGACCCGAACAAACAAGGAAGCAUCCAACUUCGAUACAACAAAGCCCACAGAUACGAGAAAUCCUUUUAGCUUCUCAAACCAGGCACGAGGAGCCUGACGAAGACCAUACAACGCUUUCUUCAGAUGACAUACCAGAGGUCUGCCAUCGGAACCAUACUGGACAUAGCCAGGAGGUUGAUGCAUGAAGACUUCAGUAUCAAGAUCUCCAUUUAGAAACGCAUUAUUCACAUCCACUUGUCGAAGGGACCACCCCCUAGACACAGCAAUAGACAAAAUAACUCUGAUAGUAGCCGGUUUUACCACCGGGCUAAAUGUUUCCUUAAAAUCACAACCUGGAAUCUGAGAGCAGCCUUUUGUGACUAAUCGAGCCUUAUGGCGAGCAAUAGUGCCAUCAGAAUUCCUCUUAAUUCUGAACAACCAUUUGCAUCCUAUAACCUUACGACUAGAUGGAGCAGAGACUAGCUCCCAUGUGGAAUUGCGCAUAAGAGCAUCAUACUCAUCUUGCGCAGCAGCACGCCACUCAGCAGUAGCCAGAGCUUCUUCAAUUGUAGAAGGUUCGUUAGCCUCAACAUGUAAAACCUUAGGCUUGUAAACUCCCGCUUUAGCUCGAGCGACCAUUGGGUGAGUAUUACCCACAGGUGGUCUACUAACUUGACUGUCAAACGAAGACGAAACGCCUUCAGACAUUCUUGAGAUAGAAUGAGGAAGAUCAGUAAAAUCACCUGGUGAAGCCGACUCAUGUAAAAUUGGAAGAGCAUCCGACCCAGACCCAACAUCCGAAGAAGCAUGAGAUUGUACCAAAUCUGUAUCUGAUGUAGAAAUAUUAGGCUGAGACUGGACCCCUUGAAAAGAUGGUGACACCACACAAGGCACAUGAGACGACGAAGAAGAAAAAGUAGGCCACACAAUGGGAACAUCAUUCACACUAGUUUGACUGGUCUUCGUCAUAGACUUAUCAGGGCUAGACUCAGCAAACAAAAAACCUCUGCUUAUCAAACACGACAUGUCUCGAAAUAAUAACCUUACCAUCUGGUAAAAGAUACUGAUACCCCUUGUGACAAGGACUGUAACCCAACAACGUAGCCGGCUGAGACCGAAAAUCCAGCUUAUGACCGACAAACGGACGUAAAUAAAGAUAGCAGCAACAGCCAAAAACUCGAAGAUGAUCAUAGGUCGGAUCAUUACCAUAAAGUGCCUUAAACGGAGAAUUGCCAUGAAGCACAACAGUGGGAAGUCGAUUGAUCAGAUGAACCGCGCAACAGAACGCAUACCCCCAGUACUCCAUAGGUAAACUCACAUGAGCCAAUAACGUAAUACCCACUUCAACAAUGUGACGAUGUUUACGCUCAGCCACUCCAUUUUGUUCAGAAGUUUACGGACACAUUAAUCGAUGAAUAAUUCCCUGGGAUUCCAAAAUAGAUGUAAAACCACGGUAUUCUCCUCCCCAAUCACUCUGAAACUGCUUAAUAGACUUGCCAAACUGUGUCUCAAUUAACUUUUGAAACUGAGUAAAAUAUUCUAUUGCUUGAGCUUUUUGACGUAGAAGAUAAACCCAGGUAAACCUAGUGCACGUGUCAAUAAACGAAACAUAAUAUCUCUUUUCAUCAUAUGCAACAGAUGCGGGACCCCAAAGAUCAGAAACAUCUAACUCAAAAUGUUGAUAACUAGUAGUAGAAGGUGAAAAGGGUAACUUAUGUGACCGCCCUUUUUGACAUGCAGUACAUACACCAUCAAAUCCAUUUUUACUUGAAACAAUAUUACAUUUAUUUAGAAUAGUCUUGACCACAGACGCAGACGGGUGGUCUAAACGAUUAUGCCAUAAAGCAAACACAGAACAAUCAUCAACUGAACGGGGAACUUGCGAAUGAGCAACAAAUGGAUCAACAUUGGUCGAAUGAGAAACCACCAGCACAGAGAACUGAUAUAAUCCAUCACGAAUGCGGCCCGUCAGCAAUGUCUCUCGAGUCACAGCAUCCUUAAUAACACAAUGGGUAGGGUGAAACUCAAAAAACACACCAUUAUCACGAGCAAACUGUGAGACAGAUAAGAGGUUUUUCCGUAUACUCGGCAUACAUAAAACAUUUGACAAUCGUAACGACUUAGACUGAGUCGGUAAAAUAGCAGUACCAAUUGAGGAAAUUACCGCAGGAGUACCAUCACCCAUUAAAAGAGAUGACUUACCUGAAUAUGGCGUAACAUCACGUAAAACUGACACAUCACGACACACGUGAUGAGCCCCAGAGUCAGGGUACCAAGACGUGGUUCCACCACCUACCUGAACGAACGAACUAUCACCACUAGUACUAGACCCAAGUUGAGCCGUAUGAACAUGCGAACCAGAUUCUGAUGACUCAGAAUAAUCAGAUGCACAUAAGUCCCCUAGCUGGGGAAGCCCAAUACACGGUUCAGACCCAGUAUAAACUCGAGCACGCGGUUUGGUAAGUCAAAAACCUGAAUCCCCAAAAUCUAAUCCAUCACAAAUUGGUUCAGGCGAGCCAGGAUCGGUUUGAUCCACUUGAACAAAAUUAGAUGAUGGUGCAUUAUUCGGCCCAUCAUUAAAGUGAACAUUUUUAAUAUUGGACCCACGUGAUGGAUGUUGAAUAUGUGGCCCACGUGAUGUAUGUUGAACAUGCGGCCCAUGUGACGCACAAUGUCCAUUUACAUCAUUAAACCCAUGUGACGUGUGUCACCAUGGUGCACAAACCCCCCUGAAUCAUGACCUUCAACACCGGACGACUCAUUCGAAUCUCGGUGAUAACGAUAAUAAUAUUUUUGCACCACAUGCCCGAAACGACUGCAUAUUUGGCAUUGCACACGAGAUCUGAAGACUCUGCCAUGACCACGAACAGGCGCACGACCACCACGACCGGCCCCUUCCACCGACGGCUCGUUUUCAACAAGAUUUGCAUUUAAAUUGACCUCCUGCAACACCUGAACUUGACGAGUCUCACAAUCAACCAACGUAUCAACCACACGCUUUAACGGCAGUACACCAGUCGACAAUCGAACAGACGAGAUGACCGCCUCAUAUCCCGACGGCAAUCCCGCAAGCACCACUUCAACCUUCUCUUCAUCAGAGAUACGCGAACCAGACGCAUCUAACAUAGCACAAAGAUCUUUAAUCUUAGCAACAUAAACUUUAAUAGAAAGGUUACCUUUCUUCAAAGAAUGAAGCUCAUGCCGAAGUCUCGACUGCUUUGCGCCAGUAUCAGCCGCAAACAGAUUAAUGGCCAUAGUCCAUAUGUCACAAGUCGUGCAAGCAUCAUCAAAGGAAGAUUGAUGAGAAGAGCUUACAGUUGACAAAAGCCAGGAUGUCAGAAGUCGAUCUUGCUGCAUGAACACCUAAGCCGCCGGAUUUGGAGCACGCGAGCCAUCGGGUAGAAGAUUGAAACGUGAUGGUGGAGCAAUGGUGCCAUCUAAGAAUUCGGUAAGCCCAUAGCCAUCAACUAUCAGUUUUACCUGUUUGCGCCAUUGAAUAUACGUACAUUCAUCAAGUUUGACGACUUCAUGCUGAGGAAAGACAUUUGUGACACGAUCGACAGCAAACACACCGGAGCUAGGUUCACCAGAUUCGGAAUCAACGGAAGCCAUACUAAGCAAAGUCCAGAAUCAACUGGUGAAUGAUACCAUGAAAGAAUUGGUAUAAAAUAAAAAGAAAUAUCUAGCUAAACAGAUAGCAAGAUAUAAAUGGAAAAACUUCUUUUAUUUGUUUAUUCAAAAACCUUACUCUCUGAAUACACAUGUUCAGUAUUUAUAGACAUGAGUAACCACUCCAUAUUCAGCAACAACCUUCACCAGAUACAUAACUAACUAACAACCUUCAAUACUCUAAUAUCGAAGGUUCUACUUUUUCAAUCUCGGUCAACAAUUGAUCAAAAUAAAAAAAUGUUUUUUCAUAUUUAAAUAUUUAAUAUUAUAACUUUCUAUUUUUAAUUUAAUUUAAUGUUUUUAUUUUAAACAAAACUAAUUGUCAUGUGAAAUUUUUUCAUUGACCAUAAUAUGCCAAAUGGCACUCUUUCAUUAGUCAAAGUUGUCUAACAGUUUUUUUAACGUUCGUUGUAAAAUGAACUGAAAAUAGAGGAAAUUGAUACUUUAAGUACCAAAUUGAAACAAAAAAAAAUAGAUACUAAAGUAAAAAAAACGAACAGAUAUGCUUUAAGAGCUAAAUUGUAAUACCCUAAAAUUUAAGGUUAGAAGUUUUGAGGUUGUGGUUAGGGUCAUUAAAUAGGUCAAGCAAUUGAGUGGGUUUUCACGUUUUAAUGUCAAAAUAAGCUUGUUGGUUCAGUGGUGGUGAAUGUGUUAGUUUACCUUUAUGUUUUGGGUUCAAGUCCUCAUGUGUGUUUUGAGGAAUUAAUUUGUUUUGAUUUUGGUUUUGGUUUUCAAUUUUUAAAGGUUUACUUUUAAAAUUUGAAAGAGGAGGUUUUUUAGUUUCACGUUCUUUUCCAUUUCCUUUUCCCUUUUUUUUGUUGUUCCCUCUGUUAUUUUUUGGUUCUUUCCCCCAAAUUUCAGUUCUUUUGAUUUCUUGUUUCGUCCGUUUUACACUUAAGUUAUGUGUUGUCUGUCAAGGCUGAUCGUCCUCAUGUGUUUCGUUUUAUCGGAGGUGAAGCGAAUAGGUUUUGCUCAUGAGGGUUUAUGAUAGAAUUGAUUCUAUUUCUAUUAUUUGUUAAUUGAAGUUCUUAUAGUUUAAGUUUAUGUGUGAAAUUGAGGUUUCCGAACAGUUUGGUGAGAGUGAAUCGAUCGGUUCUUGGUGCUUGACAUCGUGUUCUAAGGUGUGUGUGUGUUAUGAAACGGUUUAACUUUGGUAUCGAGUUACGGUGGAAUUCGAUAAUGUCUUGUGUGUUUCUGAAAUUGGUUAUUUGAAGCAUCAUAUUGUUACUGAAUUGCAUGAAAUUCUUUAUGUUUUGGCAUAAUUCUGGGUUACCAAGGGUUGGGGAUCAUUUUGACAUCAAAAGCAUGAUUUUCAAGUUGUUUCGGAGUGGUUUCAUGACCACAAGGGUGGCCACACAAGCCUGUGUUGUACACGGGAGGUCCACACGAUCGUGUGCUGUACACGGGCGGUCCACACGACCGUGUGUAAUUGGGAAUUUAGGGUUUUUGAUGAUUUUUGGUACCACAUGACCUGGUCACACAUGCAUGUGUCCCCACACAGGCGUGUGAGAUCUCCAUACGAUCGUGUCUCCUCUGUUUUUUAUUUUUGGCACUUUUGGACAGUGAGUUUCACGGGCAACUCAUACGACCAUGUAAAUUGGUCACACGGGCAUGUGUCUCCUCCACAUGGGCGUGUAGGCCUCUAAACAGCCUAGACAUUUCCACACGAUUGGGGCACAUGGCCAUGUGGCCCUAUUUUGCAGAAUUUUUGUUUUGAGUCAUAAACUGUCUAUUUUAUGUUUCUAUGUAAUCUAACCCUCGGUCAAGCCUCGGUAAGUGUGUUUGGGAUUUGAUUUAGUUUGGUUCAUGUAUAUGUGUGUUUAUGGGCUUUAAUUUUAUUGCUCAUUUAUGUGAUGAAUAAGUAUGAUUUUAUUAUUGUUCUUGUAACUGAAUAUUAGAAUACAAGUGUAAUCAAAUCUGAAUCUGUUCAACUGGAAAUGUUAAUAUCCGUUUCUGUAUGUUGUCUGUGCAAUGCGUGCAUUGUUGCAUAGCAUGAAAAUUUUGGGAUCUGGUUAUGAAGAGAAGGAAGAUAGACUUAGUAGCUUUAACUGCGAUACUUUUGUACAAUAGUUUACCGCACUAUCCUAUACAUAUAUCAGCUCAACUAAAUACAGUUUCUCAAGUAGCAUAGUUCCACGUUGUAGUAUGUAGGAUGAACCUAUUAUGGUUCUAUAUGGUGUGCAAGGUGGACUAGCCUACCAUAUCCCUUAUGUGGUGUGUUGGAUGGACGAAGUGGUGUUUGGUUGGUGGGGUGGGAUUUUUAAGGUGUUACAUAAAUUCUGGGGUGUUGGGGUGUUACAUAAAUUCUGAACUAAGCCUUUUUUAUUUUAUAAUAGCAGAAAAAGCACAUUUUUUUUUAUCAUAUUGUAUUAUUGAUCCCAAUUAAUCUUAUAUCAGAUUUAAAAGAUAAAUGAAACAAUAAGUACUAUAGUCUAUAUCCAUAUUUCUUCCUUUUCCCUUCACUUAAAUUUUAUAAAAAAAAAAUGCCAUUAAUCCAAGACUUUUUGCGGCGAAUUUUAGUAUAAAUGUCGCUCUAUUUAUGGUGCCAAAAUAUUCACAUGAAAUUGUUGUGAAGCAGGUGAUGAAACUUGAAAUUAGCGACGUUUUAUACAGUAAACGUCGCAACUUUUGUCACAAUGGGUGGUGUGUUACUUUGAAACGCAGCGGUUAAAAGUAAUACAUGGCGACAUUUUUUUCUAAAAGCACCACUAGUUAUGCCAUUGUAUGUAGAAUUAGAUAUAGUGCUUGGUCUCUCUCUAAUUCUAAUCUUAUCACUGAUAUCUCCACUAAGAUCUUAAGUGAUUCUUUUUGACCCCUGAAUAGUAGUUGGAAUCGUUCAAUGUUGUUAUCUAAGUCAUCAUUUGGAUCAAUAAUAUUGGUUUCAUAAGUAUACAAUAGGCAUUUCAACAAUAUCUUUUUUUAUACAAUGUUUAGAAUUAUUUAUAAUCAUUCAUAAAUUCUUAAAUGGGAGGAUAACUACGUUUUAGUGUGCUCAAAUUCACGUUUUCGUGUACUAGUAACAAUGGCAAUACCAACAUUAACCAAAAUAAGACUUAAUCAACUUUUGUAAUAAUAUCUUUAAUGCUUGAUGCAACGGUGACUGAGUCAAGCACUAGUGCAGUUAAUAAAUUAUUAUUUAAUUUUCAAAUUAAUAUAUAAUUUUUAUAAAAUUUUGGCUAUUAAUUAAUUAUUAAAUAAUUCUUCUCAAAUGAUAGAAAUAUUGACUGACAUCAAGUCCAUUAACUAAGAUAUUUUUAUUGAUAAUUUCAAAGUUAUCUUAUUGUAGUUGAAAGAAAAGUAUCGAAAAUGAAAUAUCAUGAAAUUUGGCUGGCAAAAGCAAUAAAUGAGUGCAUUAAAAUUUACUACUUAUUUUUAACACAAAAUAAUUAUAGCUCUUUUCUUUUUCUUUAUGCACAUUAGAGGCGUUAAUAGGCAAGGUUGGAUUUUAUAUUUUUUUAUGCUUGGCCCGACUUAUAAUGAGUACUUGAUUUAUAGUGGUAUAAAAAAACGAUUUCGAGAUUCUAUUUCCGUCAACCGAGUCCGUAAAUAUUAAAUAGGGAUAUUUACGGAGUUAGUGUAUAAAUGAAUUGAAAUUGGAUUAAAUGAUUUAUUCGAAAUUCUGGUUAAUUAAGACCUAAGGAUUAAAUUCGCUAUAAAUUUUUAAUUAGGAAAAUACUUCGGGACUUAAAUAGCGAUUAUCCAUAAGAUUAAAAUAGUUGAUAGACCAACUUAAAAUAUAUGAUGAUGGGAUGUGAUUGUAAUAAGCCCAAUUUUACCCGGGCCCUUACAAAACAAAAAAUAAGCAGUCCCAUGUUACAGGCCUAAUACCCACCUAAGCCCAAUUACCCAAACAAUAACCGAACCAGCCCAAAACUAAACCCUAGAACCUUCAGCAGUUAGCAACAUCUCCAGCGCCGCAUCAUCUUGCGUAGUCCCCUCUCCAGCCGCCGCAAUAUUCGGAGCUAGCCUCCUCCACGCGCGCCGCUUCUCUACGCACGCCAUGCCUUGCGCACCGCACCUGCAACAACAAAUAAAAACAAACCGCAACAAAAUAAUAGGGAUAGCAGAAUAGAUUUUGUUUUUUGAAUUUAUUUUUAUUUUCCAUUUUCGGCUAUAAAAGGCCAAUAUUUUCAGUGUAAAAAGAGGGGAGAAAAAACACAAAUUUUUUAAUGUAAAGGUGAUCUUUUACUUUUUUUUGCUUUUGUUUUAUUUUCUUUUUAUUUUUUUUAUUUUUCUUAAAAUAAUAAAAGGGGAAGAAGAGGAGACUCACCUUUUGUUUCUGCCGAAAUCACCCAGUUGUUGCCGGCUUCGUCGUGAUCGGGGCUCUGGCAUAAGGCUGAACGGUGGCAUUUGGGGGUUGAAGAAACCCUAAGGAAAUUGUUUCCUUUGCUGAAGGGGGAAACAAAAUUAACUUCUGGUUUUUGUUGUUAAAACCUAAAGAAGAAACAAGAAACGGCGCCGUUUAGCUUUGGGGGGGGUCCGCGCGUCUCCACCUAAAUGGGGAAAUUGCGCAGUUAGCCCUCCCCCUUUUGUGACGCGUUUUAAUCAAGUUCUUUUUCCUCCUUAAAAUUUGGCCCAAAUAUUUUACCCGCGUGACGAUUUAAUCCAGUGCUGCGCAGCAUGUAGGAGGGAGGGAUUAAUUCCCCUUUUGGUCCUCCAUUGUUUCCUGCCCAAUCAAGUUGGUCCUAUUUUUUUAAUUUCUUUUAAAUUCCCCCCAUUUAUUCGUUUUUAAUUCAAUUUAACCCAUUUUUUAGUUUUUAUCACAAUUACGCCAUACUAUUAUUUUGUUUUAUUUUUUUACUACUAUAAUACUAUAUAUUAUUAUUAUGCGCAUAUGCAUGUUAAUAUGUAUAUACUUUAAUAUUUUAAAUAUAUAUAUAUAUAUAUCUAUUGUAUGCACAUUGUAUUAUUACUUUGUUUUCAUAGUUUUUUAUACAUAUAAAUAUACAUACAUACAUUUUUUAAAAGAUUUUUUUUACAUACACUUUUCAUUUUUUAAUUAUUAUAUUUUUUUGUUAGUUCAUGUAUCCCAUUAUUUUAUUUACAUAUUGUACAUAUAUAUAUAUAUAUUUGAAUAUAUGCAUAUACGAAUUUCCACAAUUGGCCUAUGUAUAUAUACUUAUACAUUUCAUUUUUCUUGCCUUUGUAAAUAUGUACACAUUUGCAUAUUUUCAUACUUUUAUUUUAUUUUUACAAUUUUCAUUACAUAUAUACAUGCAUAUUUUUAGAAAUUAUUAUAAGUUUGUUGUAUAUAUUUCUUCACUUACCCUUUUUAUAUGUACACUUAUAUUUGUGUGCUAAGUAUGUGCCCACUCGUAUUUUCGAAUUUGCUUGUAUAUUGUACUUGUAUAUAUAUAUUGUAAGUACAUACUCAUAUAUGUUUUACAUUAAAGUUUUUGUUUCAUAUUGUACAUUAACUUUAACAUACCCUUUUAGAAAAUACAUUUUGGUUUUAACUAUACAUCAAGGUUAUUUUCUUGAUUCAACGGGUUUUUUUUAAUAAAAGCAAUAUUCGAAGUUUGGGAUUUUCGAGGGAAAUUAAGCCCUAACGUAUUGGGUUCUGAUUUUCUUUGUUAAUCUUAAAUAACUGAGUAUAUUUAUUCAAAACGCAUGAGUAUAAAAAUCAUUUUUGGGAACUUAACUUGUUGUGUCCUAACGUAUUGGGUGUGGCAUGUUACUUUCUCAAAAUGAAGAUUUUUGCAUAAAAUAAAAGUGAUAUUCAAAGUUCGGGAAUUAUGAGGAAUUGUACCCUAACGUAUUGGGAAUCGAUUUCUUUACAUGACUUGAACAAUUGAUUAUCCUUUUUCAAAUUUCAUCAUUUGAGUUGAUUUUAAAAUCUUUUUUAACCUUCGACACUAAGACAUUAAAUGAUCAAUCUGGUACCGAUUUUGGGCGUUACGAGGGUGCUAACCCUUCCUCGUGCGUAACUGACUCCCGAACUCGUUUUCUCAAAAUUCGUAGACCAACAUAAUUUUUAAGGUGAGCCGAUCACACCUUAAUAAAGGAUCGGUGGCGACUCCAGUUUUAUUUUUAAAGUCGACAACUAAAUUUUUGUUUUUCAAAAAACGAUUUCGACGGUGAUGUUAAAAUGUCUUUAGAUUAAAUUAAUUAAUGUUUAAUGUUUAAUUAACUUAAUUAAUUAAGUUUAAUUAUUUAUUAAACUAACCAUAUAAGUCAAAUAAGUGGAAAAAGAUGAGAAAAAGAAUCAUCAUCUUCAAUCUCAUCACCGUCCACCAUUUCUAAGAAAGGAAAAAGCUUUUGAAACUUUUAUACAUUCGACUAUAAAUUAUAAGUAAGUACUUAGUCUUUUUUUUUUUUAUAGAUUUGAGUUUAUGAGAGUUUGAUUUAGCUAGCCUGUGUACUAAUUUUUGAAUCUGUUAAAGUUUUUAAAAAUUUUCAUCAUUAGGAAAUGGAUGAAUUUGGUGUAAAUUUGAUAGAAAUUAAACUUAGUUUAUGAAAAUGACUAAAUUGUAAAACUUAAUUGUUAGUUUCGUAUAUUAAAAAUUAAAUUGAAUAAAAUGUAAAACUGUUAUGAAAUUUCAAUAGGAAUGAAAAUUGAUAGUUUCAUACAUUUUUUUCUAAAAGCACCACUAGUUAUGCCAUUGUAUGUUGAAUUUGAUGUAGUGUUUGGUCUCUCUCUAGUUCUAAUCUCAUCAUUGAUAUCUCCACUAACAUCCUUUAUUAAGUAAUUCUUUUUAACCCCCGAAUAAUAGUUGGAGUUGUUGAAUAUUGUUAUCUAAGUCAUCAUUUAGAUCAAUGAUAUUGAUUUCAUGAGUAUACAAUAGGCAUUUCAAUAAUAUCUUUUUUUUUCGUUGUAAAUGGCUCUAUUAGUCCGGGCCCGAUACACAAAGAAAAUAAUAAACCGAAUACAAAAAAUAUAAAAACCAAAUAAAUAAAGCCCAGAAUUAUAACCCAAUAAUAAACAAAAAGUGGCCCAAAUGUCAUUAGCCCAAUACCCAUUGCAAACCCUAGCCCAAAUAACCUAAACCUAACAGCAAACAAAAUCUAGCAGCCUCCAGCACAACAUCCAGUCGUCGCACGACUCUGAACCAGCCCUCCACCAUGUCUGCCUACAAAACGGACUAGGAGAGUCCAAUACCAACACAAACACAGUGUAAAAGUAGAGAAAAUAGGAAAAUUUCAGGCUAUAAAAGGCCCCGAUUCUAUGUAUGAUUUUUUAUGAAUAAAUAAAAAAGGAAAACGGAGAAAUCAAGUCAAAUACCAGUCUUUUACAAAGGUUAUUUUUUAUUUCGGCUUAUUUAUUUAUUUAUUUAUUUGUUCUAAAGAAAACGAAAAUAAAAAGGUUAAAAAUCGUACCUUUAUUGUGAAGGAGGUGCUGAUUCUGAUGAAAAUCGACGUUCCAUGGGUCCGGGGAUUGAAAAAACCAAAAAAAUGGUGACUUUUCAUUUUUCGGCCACCGUGGGCAGCGGCCAUCGAGGUGGUCUGACGACCGGAUAUUGGCCGGAGAGGGGAAAGCUGAGAGAGAGUUGAGAGAAAAGAGAGGUUUUUUUUAAAAGGAGGCUACAAAUGUAUUUUUAGGGUUUUUUUUUACUUAUAUAGACACCCCAAAACGACGUUGUUUCAGGCCCUUGACCCGCGCGGUGACCCAACCCAGGGGAAGGAUCCGCGUGUUUUUGGAAUUUGGGUUAUUUACCCUUUCUGUCCUUCCGCUUUUUUGGUUUAUUUUAAUUUAGUCAUUUAUUCUUUUAUUGAUUUGGCCAUUAAACUUUUGCGUGUUUCAAUUUAGUCCCUGGCUCGCUAGAAGGGACAUGUGUCCAGGGAAUCGGGCUAUUUGCCCAUUUUGUCCUCAACCUUUGCCCGCCAUUUGACUUUAGUCCUCUUUAUUUAUUUAUCUAUGAUUUUUACCCUUUAAUUUCAUUUUUUGUCCAGAUUUAGUCCCAAACCAGUUAGACUUCAAUUUAUUUUUGCCGAUUAUUUAUUUAUUUAUUUAUUUUAAAUUGUUCUAUUAUUAUUUACUUCAAGUUUUUUUAUAUAUUAUGCAUUUUAAACUAUAUUAAAUUAUUAUUCAUUUAUAUAUCCAUAUGUUAUUGGUUUUAAUUCUAGUUGUAUUUUAAAUUUUGUCUAUAUAUUAUUUAUUAUAAGCUAUAUAUAUUUUCUCCUAAAAUUAUUAUUACUUAUUUUAUACUUUCCUAUAAUAUAUAUACCACAUCUUUAAAUACCUUUAUAUGUAUGUAUUAUGUUAUGUAUGUGUGACAUUUUUUUUAAAUGAUUUUAUUUAAACUUGCUCUAUAUAUGUUGUCUUAUUUUGAAUUAAUUUGCAUACUCGUUGUUUCUAAAAAAGGGUUUUUUUAAAAAAAAUUGUUCUUAUAAUAUAUUUGUUGACACCCUUUUUUUGAUAAAACGGGGUCGACUUGGAUUUUAAAAAUAAAAAAAGGGAGUCGCCACCAAUCCUUUUUGAUGAUGUGUGAUCGGGUCACCUUGAAAAGUGGUUGUUUUUAAUAAACAAUUUAAUUUUAUUAAAACAACAAUUUUGGUCCACGAAAUUUAGAAAAACAGGUUCGGGAGUCGGUUACAUACGAGGAAGGAUUAGCACCCUCGUAACGCCCAAAAUUGGUACCUAGUUGAUUAGUUAAUGUCUUAGUGCCGAGGAUUGAAAACUUUAAAGAGAUUUAAAAUACGAUCUUUUAUUGAAACAUUUGUAUAAAUCAAAUUACUCGUUAAGACUCUCCCAUUUCAGAAAGAGAAAACGUCACACCCAAUGCCUUAGGGCACGAUAUUUUACCUCUUCAGAAAUGAGCUUGUCUAAAAACUUGCACAAUAUAAUUUAAAAGGGUAUUCAAUUGUUUAAGUCAUGUGAAAAUAUUGCAACCCAAUACGUGAGGGCACAAUUUCUCAAAAUAUUAAACAUUGAAUAUUGCAUUUUUUAGAAAAAUCCUCGUCUUGAGAAAACAACGUGUCAUAUCCAAUGCAUUAGGACACAACGUAUUGAAUUCUCGAUAAUGAGCUAUUUAUUUAUGCUUUUGUUUUAAACAGCACUCUCGAUUAUUUAGAUUCAACGAAGAAAAUUGGAACCCAAUACGUUAGGGCUCAAUUCUCUCGAAGAUCCCAAAUACCGAGUAUUGCUUUUAUUUUGAAAUUUUCAUUUUUUUGACAAAUCCGAGUAAAAAGAUGUAACGUAACAACAAUGAUGAUAAUGUGAGUAAAAUAACACAAGCAAAGGCUAUAAAAUAAAAUAAAAUAAAUAAAAAGACAAACUAAUAUAGUACACCAUAACAAACAUACAAACAAUAAUAUUAAAGCAUUCAUUCUAAAUAAUGUGAAUACAAAUAAAGAAAUAAAUAAAAAAAUGAAUAAGAUGAUGUAAAUGUAAAAGAUACAUACAUAUGUAUACAUUUUAAAAUUAUUAUAUAUAAAAAUGUAAACAAGCAAAUGCAUACACAUAUGCGUAUAUAUAUAUUAUAAAAGGUGUACAAAAGUAUGUUUUUAUAUACAUGUAUUUAUAAAAUGCGUAUAGAUAUAUAGAUGUGCAAAUAUAUGUGUAUAAAAAUUAUAGAAUAUAAAAAUAUGUAUAUAUAUAUAUAUGUUUGUAUGUAUAUAAAAAUAAGUUAUAAAAAAAAUGUACGUGCAUAAUACAUAUAUGUAUAUAUAUAUAGAAUAGAAAUAGAACUAAAAAAUAAUAUAAAACUAAUUAAUAUAUUAACAAAAUAGUAACGAAUAAAUGAAAGGAAAGUAAAACUAAUAAUAAUAAUAAUAUUAAUAUUAAUAAUAAUAAUAAUAAUAAUAAUUGCAGUGAUAAUAACAUUAAAAUAAUUAACUAAAUAAUAAAAUCGCUGAAAACACAGACUAAAUUGAAAUAAAAACGAAAAUGUUGGGUGAAUUCGAAAUAAAAAAAAAUGAAAAGGAUUAAAUUGCAACACGUGCCAAAAGAGAGGGACCAAAACAAUAAAUAAACCAAAGCCCCAAAACGCGGCGCUGCAAUGGACUAAAAUGUAACAAAAGUAAAACCAUACAGCUAAAUUAAAAUAAAAUAAAAGAAGGAAAAAGGACCAAAUUGCAACACGUUGCAAAAGCGGAAGGACCGCGCACGGAAAUAACCUUUUCUUAGAAAACACGCGAAUCCUUGGCUGAGCGGGUCGGGUCGGCCCGAUCCAGGGUCAAAACGACGUCGUUUUGGGGAUUAAGGACGCCAACCAAAACGGCGUCGUUUUGUUUGGCUAUAAAAGCCAAAAUUUUUUCAAAAAAAAAAUCAUUCAUUCCUUCUCACAUCAAAAAAAAUCUCAUAUGCUCUCCCCCUCCCUUUCUUUGCUCCUCUCUCCGGCAAGGGCCUGCUCAUCGCCCAUCGCGCCUUCCGCCGAUCGCCAGCGCCAGCUCCGCCGUGUGCGGUAGCCGAGAAGCUGAAAAGCUUCCCCUUUUAUGCCGAACCAUCCCUCCGACUCUCCGAACACUCUAGUGUCGUCAAAUAGGUAAAAAAAAUCUUUUUUAUUGUUUAAUGCUUCAAAAAUAAAUAAAAAGAAAAGAAAAGAAAAGAAACAAUCACCUCUAAGAAAAAAACUAAUAUCUGUUUUUAUUUCUCUUUGUUUCUUUUCGUUUCUUUUUUGAAAGAACCCCCCCACAUUUACAGAUGCAAAGAUCAGUUUUUAAACCGAUUCUCCCCCCCCAAAAAAAAUACAAAAAGUAUUCUUUUAUUUCUUUCUAUUCUUUCUGUCACUGCUUUGGUUGCUUUGCAGGUACUUGAUGGUGCAAGUGGGGCGGCGAUGGGACAUAGGCGGUGGUGGCAGUGCGCGGCGGCCAGCAAGUGGACGACCCUAGGUGCGCCGCAAGUUUUCAAAAUAUUCGGCGUUCAAGAUUCUCGAGGAGAUUGUACCCUAACUUACUGGGCUUCAAUUUUCUCCGUUGAAUUUAAAUAGCCGAGUAUCCUUUUUUCAAUAAAAUCGUAAACAUUUAAAGAUUAAAACUUACUCUCGGGAAUUCAAAGGGUUGUGUCCCAACUCACAGGAUACGACAUUUUGUUAUCUCGAGACGAGAUUUUUUAACAAAAGCAAAUUAGUGUGUGGUCGUCAAAACUUCAAAGAAUUGUACCCUAACUUACGAGGUUUCGCUUUCUUCAUAGAAACAAGAUGACCAAACCUUUUUUUAGUUUUCAAAUUAAUUAAUUUCAAUAAAGAUUUUAAAAGGAGAAUAGUUUUUUUAAUCUUUUUCAUUCGACCUUAAGACAUUAAAUAAUUAAUUCGGUACCAAUUUUGGACGUUACGAGGGUGCUAAUCCGUUCUCGUAUGCAAUUGACUCCCGAACCCAUUUUAUAAAACUUGUAGACCAAAAUCGUUUUUUAGGUGAUCCAAUCACACUUCAAUAAAAGAUUGUUGGCGACUCCCAAUUUUCAUUUUUAAGUCGACAACUAAUUUUUUUUGUUUUUUAAAAAAUGGUUUCAACAUUCAUAAUGCUUAAUUAAAACUAUUUAUAAUCCUUCCUCAACUUUUAAAUGAGAGAAUAAAUGUGCUUCAACGUGCUUUAACUCACGUCCUCAUGCAUUGAUAACAAUAACAACAUUAAUGUUUAUUGAGCUAACACUCAACCAACUUUUUUAAUAAUGUCUUCGGUGCUUAAUGCAAUGGCGACCAAAUCAAGCACUAGUGCAAUUAAUAAAUUAUUAUCUAAUUUUCAUAUUUAUAUCUAAUUUCCAUAAAAAAAAUUCUAUUAUCUAACUAUUAUAUAAUUCUUCUCAAAUGAUAGAAAUAUUGAUUGACAUCAAGUACAUUAACUAAUACGUUUUUAUUGAUAAUUUCAAAGUUAUCAAAUGCUAGUCGAAACAAUAAUAUCGAAAAUGAAAGAUCAUGAAAUUUGGGUAGCAAAAGCAAUUUAAUGAUUGCAUUAAAAUUUACAACUUAUUUUUUCGUACAAAGGAAUUAUACCUCUUUUCAUUUUCCUUAUGCACACUAGAAGUGUUCGUUGACUGGGUCGGGUUUGAUUUAAGCCGAACCUAAGCAUGUUAUUAAAAUAUUUUAUACUUGUUCAAGCCUAACCCUACAACCCGGCAUAUAAUAACCCGGUUUCAGAAUUCAACCAUGAUUUUGUAUUACAUAUUUUAAGGCUAUGAUUCUGAGGUUAUUAUUCUAAAGCUAUCUGAGACUAAUUUUAUUAUAAUGCCAAUAAAAAAAACUUGCAUCAAACUUUUCAUACUGACUUAACAGUAGGAUUAAAAAAUUAAAUUUCAAAAAGGUUUGUAACUAAAUUAAAAAAAAGUUUUAAUUAAGUGACAAAAAUAAAAAUAAUCUCGUAAUUGAAAAACGUAGUUUACCCAAUAAAAAUACUAGAAAGGAAGGUUGAAAUUUAUAAUAAAGUAACUCCAAAAUCAAGCAUCACAUGAACGUACAAGCAGUUUGGAGGUAGCUUGAAUUAUCAAAAGAAACUCUUCCAGAGGAAGACUUUGAUUUAGAUACAUGGGAGAGUACUUGAAAGCCUUGAGAAGCCAAUGUUGAUGAGCUCAUAGUAACUCGUUAUUGCAGACACACUACAUAUUAUGAAACAAACUACAUAAUAGUCUUGAAAAAAACACAAAUCAUGGGCAGGUAAUGCAACUUCAUGAUCUGGUUUUUAUAUAUUCGCAUUACAAUUUCGCCAAUGGAUCCUAUAGCUUGCCCAUUACAUUCAAGGUUUAGUUGGCAACUCCUGGCAGCCGCGACCGCUUUUAUAAA